rnacentral:rRNA from 1 species
AACGAACGCUGGCGGCAGGCCUAACACAUGCAAGUCGAGCGCCCCGCAAGGGGAGCAGCGGACGGGUGAGUAACGCGUGGGAACGUACCCCUUUCUACGGAAUAGCCUCGGGAAACUGGGAGUAAUACCGUAUAAGCCCUACGGGGGAAAGAUUUAUCGGGAAGGGAUCGGCCCGCGUUGGAUUAGGUAGUUGGUGGGGUAAUGGCCUACCAAGCCGACGAUCCAUAGCUGGUUUGAGAGGAUGAUCAGCCACACUGGGACUGAGAUACGGCCCAGACUCCUACGGGAGGCAGCAGUGGGGAAUCUUGCACAAUGGAGGAAACUCUGAUGCAGCGAUGCCGCGUGAGUGAAGAAGGCCUUUGGGUUGUAAAGCUCUUUUGUAGGGGAAGAUAAUGACUGUACCCUAAGAAUAAGGUCCGGCUAACUUCGUG